GAUGAAUAACGUAGCGAAAUGCGAUAAGUAAUGUGAAUUGCAGAGUUCAGUGAAUCAUCGAAUCUUUGAACGCACAUUGCGCCCGUCAGUAUUCUGACGGGCAUGCCUGUCCGAGCGUCAUUUCAACCCUCAAGCACUGCUUGGCGUUGGCGGAUUGCGUGCCCUCGCGGCGCUGCAACCGCCCAAAUACAGUGGCGGUCCCGCUGCGGCUCCCUUUGCGUAGUAACUCACCUCGCACUGGACCGGGCGGCGGCCUGCCGUAAAACCCCAACUCACGAAAUGUUGACCUCGGAUCAGGUAGGAAUACCCGCUGAACUUAAGCAUAUCAAUAAGCGGAGGA
rnacentral:misc_RNA from 1 species